rnacentral:rRNA from 1 species
AGAACGAACGCUGGCGGCAUGCCUAAUACAUGCAAGUCGAACGAACACUUCGGUGUUAGUGGCGCACGGGUGCGUAACGCGUGGGAAUCUGCCCUUGGGUUCGGAAUAACAGUUGGAAACGACUGCUAAUACCGGAUGAUAUCGAAAGAUCAAAGAUUUAUCGCCCAGGGAUGAGCCCGCGUAGGAUUAGCUAGUUGGUGAGGUAAAGGCUCACCAAGGCGACGAUCCUUAGCUGGUCUGAGAGGAUGAUCAGCCACACUGGGACUGAGACACGGCCCAGACUCCUACGGGAGGCAGCAGUAGGGAAUAUGACAAUGGGCGCAAGCCUGAUCCAGCAAUGCCGCGUGAGUGAUGAAGGCCUUAGGGUUGUAAAGCUCUUUUACCCGAGAUGAUAAUGACAGUAUCGGAGAAUAAGCCCGGCUAACUCGUCGCCAGCAGCCGC